AUUAGGAACAUCUCAGAGAUCAGAGGAAGCCAGCACGGUGUGAAAGAGCUGCUCUGUGGGCUCCGGGUUUUAUUCCAUCG
ensembl:miRNA MIR9842 microRNA mir-9842